AUGGGUUUUCGUUUACCUAGUAUUCUACGAUCAUCAUUUAGUGCAGGCCAAGCAUCUAGCAAAGUGGAAGUCCCAAAAGGCUAUAUCGCAGUUUACGUUGGAGAAAAAGCGAGGAGGUUCUUGAUUCCGGUAUCGUUCUUGAACGAACCUUUAUUUCAAGAAUUGCUUAGCCAAGCUGAAGAGGAAUUUGGUUACUGUCAUCCAAUGGGCAGUCUUACAAUUCCUUGCAAGGAAGAUGUCUUCUUACAUACAGCUUCUCGCUUGAACAACCUAUGA